UGCGCGUGAUUCGAUUGUUGCGGACGAAAGGGUGAAAAGCAGAUGGCAUGAAACUGAAAGAAGAAAUCCCGCCCAAACAAGAUUGACUGAAGAUCAAGAGGAUAGCUCUAAUUUUUUUUCUCGCAUCAGCACGGAUCCACUCAUCUGUGGAUUAAAUACCCAUUUUUAUUACGGGUUGAUAACUCCAAGCGUGUAAUUUUCCCAAGAGCUCGGUGGUUUUCUAGUUAAGUGGACCACAAAAAUCGACGAGCCGACUAUAUAAAGCCGUUUUCGAGGAUUUCAUGGCAUUAGUCUCAUCAUCAUCCUCCUCUGCAACGCAUCUAGAAAGUUGAAGAUGAACGAAAAAAAAUUUUCGAUAAAAGUUAGAGUUCAGAGGGUCAUUAGGCCAAUUGUCCCAGCAAAACUUGACCUAGAAAGUGGUUGAACGUCAUUUACCUUAGUUAAUUAAUAAAAUUUAUCAAAUAAAAAUAAUCCUGACUAGCGCGAGUGUAAUAGAAUACGUUUUUGAGACGAUUUUAAUCUGUGAAAGAGUGAAAAUUAUACAAUAAGAAGUGGAUUUUUUCCGUUUAUUGGAUAAUAUGCAGUCCAAUAAAGUGUAACUGAACGUUCAAUGAAAUAAUAAUAUGUAAGAUCGAUAAAUUAGUCAGUAAGUGUAUUGUGUUCAAUUUUAUUUAUUAUGUCUGAAUGAAUUGGAGGGUGCGAUGUCAUCGGUGAUUUAAUUUAUGAUUUUAAACCAAAUGAAAGAAGUUUAAUGUAAAAACUGUUAUAUUAACAUUAUAGUGUCGGACCAUACUCAGAGUUAAAGACACCCUAAAAUGGUCUCCUCUCUAUUUUAUUGUUAUUUUAUAAUUUUUCUUUUUACUACCGUAAAUUUCAAUUUUGUAACACGAUUCGUUUUUUCACUUAUUACCAUUGCAAAAUUAAAUUCGCAGUUUGUUUGCAAAUUCUCUGUCUGUGUUUAAAGUACCAACUAAAAUGAAAGGUACGAUGUUGAAUAGGAAAAAGAGCAUUUGUAUUUUUCAAAGUUUAAACUGUAGUACUUUUGAAUUUUACUAUGUAACAUAUAAAAUUUUUGAAUAAAUGACGUCUGCUUUUGUAGUGGAAUAUUCCCUAGAAAUAUCUACUAUGGUAGCAUUUUUUAACUAAUAAAAAUUCCUUUCUGCGUAACGAGUGAUGGCAAAAAUUAGAAUACCCAAAUUUGUCAUUUUUCCCUCAAUGGGAAAGUGAAAUUUCCUCUGACGUUCUGCCAUUUUCAUGUUGUUAAAUGGUUCCAUUGUGUUGAGUAAUUUUUGCUAAUAUUUUCGUGGGAAUAAUUAUUCCACAUUGUCAGCGGUGCAAAUCAAUGGGAAUAACGUCGUGAAAAUUCGGCAAAUAAAAUUAUGGUGUGCAGUUAUAGUGAGGAAUGGCGGUGAAGUAAAGGCAAUAUUUUGGCACAGGCACUCGUAACUUUGGAUAACGGCAUUUGUUUCGUCUUUCUACGAUCUCUCUCCUCAUCCUCUGGCAGUGCACAACUCUACUAAUAAUAUUGAGCCACGAGUUAUCUACUCGGUUGUUGGUGGUGAUUAAUGGUGGACAAUGAAACUUGCUGAAAGACUCAGCAUGGGAGUGUAACAAAGUUGGAAGGAUAUUUGGCAAGUGUCUUCUAGGUUUCCAUAAAGGAGUACAUGCUUCAACUAUUAUUCACGUCUCCUCAAUGCAGACUGGAAGCUCGAGGCAAAGACGAGAGGCAUCUUCAGGGGCCUGAGAAUGUCGGGUUAGGAUCCUCGAGUGUCAUCGACUUAACUCAUCCUCCAUCUCUCUCCAUCCAAGGCCUAGUUGCUUCCGCCAAGAGGUUCCCCCAAGGGCUUGAGGAUCAAGUCAGCAUAAUAAGCUUUAUGCACUACGUGAAUUCUCUCGGUUUUGGUAUUCCGAGUAUCUGGAUGUCGUACUCGUGUGUCUACGCAGUCUGUCGAAACAUCGAGGAUACUUGUCCCACCGGGGGUACUAUAGGCGGUACCAUGUCUCGUCGCACAAGCAAAGUCAACAGAUGCCUUCAACAGACGGUAUUUCACCGCUUGCAUUUUCAACACGCACUAAUUUCAACAUAUACUGUUUUCAUAUAAACAAAUUCAACGGAGACAUUUCACGAAAACAAUUUAAACGCAUGUCCUUCAGGUGAGAGAGUACCCGAUGCAUAAUCGGAAGGUUCCGGGUUCGAAUCCAGGUCUGGACUAUCCAUUUUUUGAGUACAAUUUUCUUGUAAAAUUAUAUCGAGACGAAUCCUGAUGCCGGAAGGUCCAGGGUUCGAACUCGAAUCUGGAGUAUCCAUUUUUUCACUAAAAUUUUCUUGUCAAAGUAAACCCAGAUUAAUCCAAAUUUGAUGCCUAUCCCAUCUCAAAAUCAUAUUAAACAAGUGCCUGUGACGUCAUAAGAUGUCGAACACUAUAAAAAUGUCUCGUAUUGCAUGUGACCUACACAUGUGAGCUACAUGGUCAUCUGGAAGUUGAUUAUGGUUUUUUUUGUUGAAAAAUAUGGGGAGUAGUUGAUCUAUUGAAUUUUGCAUGUAUUAAAUUUUUUUGUGUUGAUUUCUUUGAUUGAAACUGCAAAUGUCACCAUUGCCUUGUAUUAUUACAGCCGGGAAUCGAGCCCGGAUCUCCCAGUUUUGAGACCCAGUGCCCAAUUUAAUUCGUUAGGCAGAUUUUUUGGAUUUAUUUUUUAAGUCCCGAAGAAUUUCCACCAAUAGAGAGAAAUUGUCAGCAAAAAUUGCGGAAUUGACUGAUUUUGCAUUUAUCAUUUUCUUCCUUUUUUAAUUAUCAAGUAAUUCAUCGUGAAACAAUUUUCUAGAAAAUCCACGUUAGGACAUAGUAACUCCCAGAAAAUGAAAUAAUUACGAGUUAAGGGCCCACGUGUUUUGGUUUUAAUGCAGCGAAUCCUUCGAUAACUUGUAAUUGUUUUAAUUUAUUUCCAAAAAUAAACAUUGUUGGCCUUUCAGAAAUAAUCUAAGUAUUUCCAGAUUUUUUUCUAUCUUCUCUAUAUCGAUAGCAAUGCUUUAAUUCAACUCAAAUAGUGUACCGAAUGAAUGUUUGGUAUUUCCAUUUACUCCAGAAUGAGGUAAAUUGGAACAAAAAACAAACGAUCUGUCGAUUUAUGCCGUGUUGCCCACUCAAGCCCUCGAGAGUUGGCAUCGACCGAUAGCUGAGUAUCCUCGAACUCGACGAAUAAUAUUGCCCCCGUGAAUUUAACAG